rnacentral:tRNA from 1 species
GACAACUUGGCCGAGUGGUUAAGGCGACAGACUUGAAAUCUGUUGGAUUCGUCCGCAUAGGUUCGAACCCUAUAGUUGUCG